AUAACAUUUAAAUGGCUGCAAAUGCUAGUUUUAUUCUAAAUAUGUAAUUUAGAUGAGAAAUAUCAAAGCAGCAAAGAGAAGUAGUUGAGAGAGAAUAAAUAUGUUGAGUUCCUACUUUGUGCUGCAGUCAGCUUUACAUUUUUACGGCCACUAGAGGGAUUGUUGCUUACACUACUCAUUGCUGAAAGCAGUCAUGCAGUCCCUUGAGUACUUUUUAAGCAACUUUAAAGCUUUGAAUGACUGAUUCCAGUUAAGUCCUCUAAAGGAAACAUGAAAGGAUGCAGGAAGUCCUGAAUGACCGCAAUGAAUACCUGUGCUAAUUAAAUCACUGGCUGGGUACUGGGAGAGAGCAAGGCUGACAGCAGACAUUUGCCUGUUAUCAGUCACAGUCGGCUCCAGGUGAAUUGCUGUGUUGACGUUUGUCUCUAUCAGCUGGAAACAAACUGAUUCUGAAU